GCCUUGUGAUUUGGCUUUUUUGAACAGAGCCUGUCGAGAUUUGAGGCCUCGUUUUAAUUCCUCGGCCUUCUGUAGCCUUUGUUCCAUGUCCAUAUUCUUGUUUUUGUCCGCGUGUUUCGUUUCAUAAUGUCGUCUCAGAUUAUACUCUUUCAGUACCGCCACACUUUCUCCACACAGAAGACACACAGGUUUUCCAGCUACCUCCGUGAACAUAUACUCAGACUCCCACCUUGUUUGAAACCCCCGGUUCUCAGUGUCCACCUUCCUUUUUGCCAUUUUUGAUGGGUAUCUGAAAGUUAAUUUUACAGUUAUGCUGACGACUGCUGUGCUAAUAAAUCCCUUCUACACGUGUCGCCGGCGACACAUCUAAAUUUGCAGUACCGUAAUUCCGCCACACGUAGCGCUAAGUGGAAAAAUUCCAAUGGUUUCUGAAAGGGGAGACGUUGCACUUUCCAGCAAGUAUCGGGUUAAUACUGUAACUUCGCAGCUGCAGAGAGUGUAAUUAAUCCGGGGGGCACUCCUUUAAUAGAUGGUAUAUUUCGGCAAUAACUUGGUGGAUAUUGAAAGUUCCGGUUGUUAUGGAUACAUGGGUAAGUACAUCAUCUCACAGAACAUUUAAAGAACUACUUACAGUUCAAAUAAGGAAGGUAUUUUUUUUUCAGACGGGGUGCCGGCUUACUGCGGUCUGCGGGCCGGUUCUAAUAAUAAAUCAAGAUCAUUCCAGGGGCCGUAAAAAACCUUCUCGCGGGCCGGAUGUGGCCCGCGGGCCUUGACUCUGACAUAUGUGCUAUGGAGGAUAAAGACACC